rnacentral:lncRNA from 1 species
CUGAGUAUGGAUGCCCUCAAAGAAAGCCUUUAUGAAUAAAUGUGUUUUAAAGGGGAUUACUUUCAGGAGCAGAAAUGACUCAAAGAUGGCUGAAUCAUAAAAUCUCCACCAUGGGUGACAACUCACAGAACCUGGAAACCUGAAGAAUAUGUUACAACAGGAUCCUCCGGUAGUACUAUAUCCAGUUUUCUGAGGAACCGCCAGACAGAUUUCCAGAGUGGUUGUACAAGCUUGCAAUCCCACCAGCAAUGGAGGAGUGUUCCUCUUUCUCCACAUCAGGUGCUUCUCUGCCAUUUGGUAUUCCUCAGGGAGAGGAAAAAAUAUGGGGCAGUUCCAGCUUCCAGCCAGUCAUUCCACAGCAAGACUUUGAAACCUGGGAAAGAAGAGGGAGGCUGCAGUGUAUCUUGGCUGGGAGAUGGCUGGACUGGGAAACAGGACUCUCUGUCAUUCCCUGUGUCAGUCUUGGAGUGACCCUGACCUCUUCCCAGCAUUCCUGACCCCACCUCUAACUUGGAGGAGAUGUUGA